rnacentral:sRNA from 1 species
UCCAUGUCUCUUGUACCCUGCAAUCUGGAGGCCACUGCCAGAAGCUGGAAAUCCCAAGUACAGCAGCAAAAGGUAUGAGGAUUGGCACAAACUUAUGGCCAAUGGAGGCUCCCCAAAGUGCAUGGAAGGUGGUGGUCCAGUGUCUAAAGUCAGGAGUGCUGAGGCAACCCCAUAGCUGGGGGUCCUAUGGGAGAGACUGAGGAACUUCAGUUUCUGGACUCUCAGUCAACUGUGUUACCGAGGAGGGGAAGGGGAAGUAGAUGGGGUGGUGGUUUGAACAAGACCCAAAUCCUGCUUCUACUUAUAGGUGCUCACAAUGGCCAGUACCCUGGAAAAGCUCUGGAAUAAAUACACCUGGGCCUUAGAAAGCAGAGGCAGGAGAUAAUGCCAUCCAGUGGGAGCUUUCAUUUGUUUCCUCAGCCAGCCUCUGUGUCAGGCUUUUUGGGAACAAGGGCUGGAUGAACAAGGCCUUGGGAGUUCCUGUGGGGAGGGACUGGGGGUGAAUGGGCAGUGUGGCUGGCCCGGUGAUCACUUGUCCUCUGCUUGUCUAGGCUUGAGGAUGGAUUCUUGGCUACUGGUGCAUUGCCACUCCCUGCGACCCUCCUCCUUGUCUUCUGUCUUCUCCUGGUGGCAUCAGGCCUUGCUUCGUGUCCCAACAGGAGCCUCUGGGGCUGGCACAGCCCUCACCGCCUACAACCUGGGCCUGGUGGUUCUCCUAGGGUGCCUCUGGGAGGUUGUGGCCACCCCGCUGCUGGCUAACUGCAGCUACUUCUGCCAGCCAGUGGACUAGAGAUGGAGCAAGCAUGGAAUGAGGGUAUGGCAGGGAGCAGGAAGCAAGCCUGGAGAGGGUUAAGAGGAACAACUUCACAACAAUCAGAGGGCAAGGAGGCAUCUUCCUGGAGACAGGUAGGCACUGUGGAAUCAGCAGUGCGUAGAACAGUGAGGAAUUAGGGCUGAACCCAGCCCAGGUGGGACAAGCCCUGGCACCAGCCGACUGCAGUCUGAUGGAACUUCCCCUUCCUGCCCAGCAGAUGGCGAGCGUGUGCUGCUGGUGCCUCUUUCCAAAGGAUGUUGAAUUGUUUGACAGGUGUUCUUUACUUUAUGAAUGAAACCAGAGCAGCCCACCUUCCUGCAUCUCUACCACCAUGGCACCAUGCCCUGUGAAGGGUGAGCUGGAGUCAAAUACGUAGCAGGCAGCCAGGGUCAGUUUGUGGCCACUGCUGCCUCCUCUUCCUAUGGUCUCCUCACUGAGUGCCCCUUCCCUGUUGGGUUCAACAUGUCUAUGCUCCUGUAAGCCCUCAGCCUCCUCGUUCUCUUCCUCAACUUCUACCACCAGACACACCUGAGAGGCAAGCAAGAGAGGCUAAACUAGGAGCAGGACCCAGGGACUGAAACCAGCACAGCAUCCCCACAGAGAAUUGGGUGGAAGGCAGCAUGGCUUCCAGCUUACUGGUGCCGAGCAGAUUCCCCUGGGUCUCCAUUGUAUCCUCUGAAGGAAGGAGGAGGAUUGCCUUCUGUCCAGAUCUCAGGAUCAAACAAAUAGGUCCAACUUCCUGUGCUCACUUCAGUUAGAGCACUUCUCAUGUGACUUUGUAGCUUUGUGUGCAUCUCCUUCCUCUACUAGACCUAAGCCCCUCACUGGAAGGACUCUCUUAUUCUUGAUGUUCCCCACAUCUGGAAUUUCAAUAAACAUCUCAAUAAACGUG